UGUUUGGACUAAUGAUAACACCCCAGGACAUAUUGAACUCGCAAGUCUUAUUAUAGAAGAUAUUUGUGAAAUGCAAUUCCUCAUAUUAUUUACAUUCUGGCAUGCAUUCAUUAAGAUUUUGUGUCUCAAAUAUUUCUCAAACUAAUCCAGAUUUUUUAAAUGCAAUGUUAGUGGAUUAUGUGUGCCAGUCACAGCCAGUUUGUCUAACGACUCAAACUGAAUUAUUCCGCUGCUCUGUCGUUUGAAUAAGAAACUAACGGACCACUACAACUAGUAUUCCAAUUCCUAAUUGAGCCAGACAAACUGCCAGCUGCAUCCAUUUCAACUCGAGAGCAUUGCUUUUCCCUAGGCUGAUUCUGAAAUUGGUAUGCUUGAUAGAUGUAUUUGAGCAAGAUUAGUGUUUGAAAACUCAAGGGAGCAGAAGAAAAAAAAAAUUCAAAACUGUUCCCGUUCAAGACAUUGACGAUGCACUACAUUACUAAAUCCUGAGCCAAAUAUUGUUUUACACAUUCUCUUUGGCAAUGUUCUCCUGUGAUACAAAAGUAUCUGGAGCGGAAUGGGCUACUAUUUGGGGUCCUUCCUGGGUCCUUCAUUUCCAUGGUAACAUUGUUGUUAACGUAACAAUGCAUCCGGGUCCCUGAAGCUAAUAGCUAGCCGAAUGGAAGAGGGACGACGUGUUAUUACAGUAAUGUAUUCGCUAACUAGCGCCCCUGUUUGCUUCAUUUGUCGUCGUUUGAACGGAAAGUGGCCUCUAAUUUAGCUUGCUAGCUCACUCAGAUAGAUACAUCGCUAAACUAUCUAUGAUGCUAGCUAAUCAUAAUAAUACAUGUUUCUAGCUAACUAUCUAAUUGUAGUAGUUUCCAUAUCACUUCUCAGACAAUCAACAACAUGACGCCGAAAAAAGAAAUGGGCGGCAAGUGGAGGUCCUGGCUCAUCAGUAGAGUCUAGCAUCAAACAGAGUUUACUCAACCUGGCCUGUCCAUGUCUCCACUCAAGUUGUUCAGCAGGGGAGGAGACAGUACUUCAGGUGUGUUGUCUGCAGGAAGACCUCGCCGCUCAGUAUCUAAUGUACAGAGAGGAAUGUGAUGCUCGCACGCUGCUCAUCACCAACAUCAGCAGCAUGAGCUAUGGACCAGAUGAGGAACCAGAGGAAGAGCUGAAAGAAGUGGAAAUAUAGGACCCAUUUAAAGAGAAAUUAGCUCUGAAGGUGUGUCGAGAGGACCUGACUAAAGCCGAGGUGGAGCUAAAUCGAUCGCAUGCUGAGUAUGGAGAUGUAAUGCCCCGCCGUGACUGGGAGACGCUGGACCAUACCCACAAAGAGAACUUGCUCAAGAGGUGACUGUGGCUGCCUUCAAGAACAUUGACCCCUCUCUGGACUCUACCACACUGGACUGGAACCUAACAAUGGCAUUUCUAGAUACCCCAGGAGGAGCUAGAGCAGCAGACAACAAAAAAUGGACACAAGGCUGGCCCUGCAGCACCUCCUGGUAGCAGAUGUAACCAGGGCUGGGCCUGCACCACAACAGGACUCAUGCACUUUUAGAAAGUGUCAGCUGUCAGGCAUCUUACUGUAUUUUUUUUUCUUUGCUCUCGUUGCAAAGUAAUUGUUUCUACUGAAAUGAUCUAUAAAUAAAAUGUUUCCCACAAUCAG